rnacentral:lncRNA from 8 species
UUAUACUCACAGACACCAUUCAAACAGUUUUAGAAAAUUUAGGGUGUUUUCUAUCCAUAUGUAAUAAGUAUAUGCAUAUUCUAGUUACUGGGUAGGAGUGGUAACCAGAUUAAAUCGGGUAUGUUUUUUAUCCAGCCGUGUCAAUACUGCCCCCUAGCCCUAACAGGUUUUAAGCUAAAAUUUUUAUUCUAUUCUCCUAAGCCAUUUACUUUACGUUCUUAUUCUUAUCUUUUAUUAUUUCUUAUUGUUGUGGCAUUGUCGAGAAGUAACCUACAAGUAAGUAAGUGUUGCAGUACUUGGAACUUGUAUCGCAUAAUCUAUCCAAGUAAAAUGUUAUAGUUAUUUUGUGUGUGUUUCUAUGGUGAUGGAUAAUGUAGCCAAGAUACGGUGUCCAUAUUAGGACAGCCUCAGAGUAACAAUGAGUUCAGAGUCACUCGGACAACAGCACCUGCUUCAAACUCCAAGUGACACUGACACAACUUCUAUGGAUGUGUGAAUAUGAACACUGUAAACAUAGACACUGAACCCUUAGCAUGUCUCACUCACUCUCUCACUCAGCUCUCUAGGCAGCAGCUAGUGUUCCAGCAGCUCCUCCAGCAGGAGCUGUUCAAAGUGCAGAGACCAGGCCUGGCCUCCCACACCUUGUUUCCAGCUGGCUUGAGUACUAUUGAGCUCCAGCAGAUAUGGAAGGAGCUAACCAACACCACAAUGGAAGAUAAAAGCACAAAGGCUAGCUGUCCAGACCGUGUCAUCACCACCACCAGCACUCCGUCCCCUACUGAACCCGUAACUACAGCCAAAGCAUCAAUGUCAAACACCCACAACUUCCCUACCAACGGCCAAUCUCUUAGUUCCAGCCCAAGAGAAGGGUAAAGCCUUCUCCAUAACACUUUACAAUAAAGGUAUAUGGAUUAGAAUCCUUGGGGCACGUGUCAAGCACAUGGCCAGCUGGCCGAAUCAGGCCCAUUACACAUUUCUCUCCGGCCUGCGCAAUUAUAUGGGUUGUCAAUUAAUUUUGGUCAUUUUCCAUACAGCCCGCAAUACUCAAUACUUUAAAUCCCAGCAAGCACUGC